CCUACGGGAGGCAGCAGUGGGGAAUAUUGCACAAUGGGCGAAAGCCUGAUGCAGCCAUGCCGCGUGUAUGAAGAAGGCCUUCGGGUUGUAAAGUACUUUCAGUUGUGAGGAAGGGGGUAACGUUAAUAGCGUUAUCUCUUGACGUUAGCAACAGAAGAAGCACCGGCUAACUCCGUGCCAGCAGCCGCGGUAAUACGGAGGGUGCGAGCGUUAAUCGGAAUUACUGGGCGUAAAGCGCAUGCAGGUGGUUCAUUAAGUCAGAUGUGAAAGCCCGGGGCUCAACCUCGGAACUGCAUUUGAAACUGGUGAACUAGAGUGCUGUAGAGGGGGGUAGAAUUUCAGGUGUAGCGGUGAAAUGCGUAGAGAUCUGAAGGAAUACCAGUGGCGAAGGCGGCCCCCUGGACAGACACUGACACUCAGAUGCGAAAGCGUGGGGAGCA
rnacentral:rRNA from 1 species